rnacentral:rRNA from 1 species
GAUGAACGCUGGCGGCGUGCCUAAUACAUGCAAGUCGAGCGAACGGACGAGAAGCUUGCUUCUCUGAUGUUAGCGGCGGACGGGUGAGUAACGCGUGGAUAACCUACCUAUAAGACUGGGAUAACUUCGGGAAACCGUAGCUAAUACCGGAUAAUAUUUUGAACCGCAUGGUUCAAAAGUGAAAGACGGUCUUGCUGUCACUUAUAGAUGGAUCCGCGCUGCAUUAGCUAGUUGGUAAGGUAACGGCUUACCAAGGCAACGAUGCAUAGCCGACCUGAGAGGGUGAUCGGCCACACUGGAACUGAGACACGGUCCAGACUCCUACGGGAGGCAGCAGUAGGGAAUCUUCCGCAAUGGGCGAAAGCCUGACGGAGCAACGCCGCGUGAGUGAUGAAGGUCUUCGGAUCGUAAAACUCUGUUAUUAGGGAAGAACAUAUGUGUAAGUAACUGUGCACAUCUUGACGGUACCUAAUCAGAAAGCCACGGCUAACUACGUG